rnacentral:rRNA from 1 species
CCUACGGGAGGCAGCAGUGAGGAAUAUUGGUCAAUGGACGGAAGCCUGAACCAGCCAAGUCGCGUGCAGGACGACGGUCCUAUGAGUUAUAAACCUCUUUUGUCGGGGAACAAAAGCGCCCACGGGUAGGCGGUUGAGUGUACCCGACGAAUAAGCAUCGGCUAACUCCGUGCCAGCAGCCGCGGUAAUACGGAGGAUUCGAGCGUUAUCCGGAUUUAUUGGGUUUAAAGGGUGCGUAGGCGGUCGGACAAGUCAGCGGUAAAAUUUCGGGGCUUAACCCCGUACAAGCCUCUGAUACUGUCAGUCUUGAGUGCGCAUGCAGCAGGCGGAAUGAGUGGUGUAGCGGUGAAAUGCUUAGAUAUUACUCAGAACUCCGAUUGCGCAGGCAGCUUGC